UACGGAGGGUGCAAGCGUUAAUCGGACUUACUGGGCGUAAAGCGCACGUAGGCGGUUCGAUCAGUCCGCUGUGAAAGCCCCGGGCUCAACCUGGGAGGGGCAGUGGAGACGGUCGGGCUGGAGUGUAGCAGAGGCCGGCGGAAUUCCCGGUGUAGCGGUGAAAUGCGUAGAGACCGGGAGGAACACCGAUGGCGAAGGCAGCCGGCUGGGUCGACACUGACGCUGAGGUGCGAAAGCGUGGGGAGCAAACAGGAUUAGAAACCCCAGUAGUCC
rnacentral:rRNA from 1 species